rnacentral:rRNA from 1 species
UACGUAGGGUGCGAGCGUUGUCCGGAAUUAUUGGGCGUAAAGAGCUCGUAGGCGGUCUGUCGCGUCGGUCGUGAAAACUUGGGGCUUAACCCUGAGCUUGCGGUUGAUACGGGCAUGACUGGAGUUCGGCAGGGGAGACUGGAAUUCCUGGUGUAGCGGUGAAAUGCGCAGAUAUCAGGAGGAACACCGGUGGCGAAGGCGGGUCUCUGGGCCGAUACUGACGCUGAGGAGCGAAAGCGUGGGGAGCGAACAGG